GAUGAACGCUGGCGGCGUGCCUAAUACAUGCAAGUCGAGCGAACAGAUAAGGAGCUUGCUCCUUUGACGUUAGCGGCGGACGGGUGAGUAACACGUGGGUAACCUACCUAUAAGACUGGAAUAACUCCGGGAAACCGGGGCUAAUGCCGGAUAACAUUUAGAACCGCAUGGUUCUAAAGUGAAAGAUGGUUUUGCUAUCACUUAUCGAUCGACCCUCGCCGUAUUAGCUAGUUGGUAAGGUAAUGGCUUACCAAGGCAACGAUACGUAGCCGACCUGAGAGGGUGAUCGGCCACACUGGAACUGAGACACGGUCCAGACUCCUACGGGAGGCAGCAGUAGGGAAUCUUCCGCAAUGGGCGAAAGCCUGACGGAGCAACGCCGCGUGAGUGAUGAAGGGUUUCGGCUCGUAAAACUCUGUUAUUAGGGAAGAACAAACGUGUAAGUAACUGUGCACGUCUUGACGGUACCUAAUCAGAAAGCCACGGCUAACUACGUGCCAGCCGCCGCCGUAA
rnacentral:rRNA from 1 species